rnacentral:rRNA from 1 species
UACAGAGGUCCCAAGCGUUGUUCGGAUUCAUUGGGCGUAAAGGGUGCGUAGGUGGCGGGGUAAGUCGGAUGUGAAAUCUCGGGGCUCAACCUCGAAACUGCAUUCGAUACUGCCUUGCUAGAGUACUGGAGAGGAGAUCGGAAUUUACGGUGUAGCAGUGAAAUGCGUAGAUAUCGUAAGGAAGACCAGUGGCGAAAGCGAGCUACUGGACAAUAUCUGACGCUGAGGCUCGAAGGCCAGGGUAGCGAAAGGG